rnacentral:misc_RNA from 1 species
GAUGAAGAACGUAGCGAAAUGCGAUAAGUAAUGUGAAUUGCAGAAUUCAGUGAAUCAUCGAAUCUUUGAACGCACCUUGCGCUCCUUGGUAUUCCUUGGAGCAUGCCUGUUUGAGUAUCAUGAAAUUCUCAAAGUAAAUCUUUUUGUUAAUUCAAUUAGGUUCACUUUGGAUUUGGAGGUUUUUUGCAGCUUCACACCUGCUCCUCUUUGUGCAUUAGCUGGAUCUCAGUGUUAUGCUUGGUUCCUCUCGGCGUGAUAAGUUAUCUAUCGCUGAGGACACUUUUUUUUUGUUUUUUUUCUAAAAAUAAAUAAAUAACUAAGUGGCCAAGGGAAAUGCAGAUGAACCGCUUCCAAUAGUCCAUUAGCUUGGACAAAUAUAUUUUUAUGAUCUGAUCUCAAAUCAGGUAGGACUACCCGCUGAACUUAAGCAUAUCAAUAAGCGGAGGA